GACAAAUACUGACCAGAUUCUGGGAAGGAAGGUCGAAAUAUCUCGUGGAUCUACAGAAUUCUGAUUGAAAAUGGUGAGGCUCUUGGUUACGGGCCUCAUUUUCAUGACAUGUAUGGGCGUGGCUAGUUCGGAGUCCAUGUCAAUCACGCAGACCUGGCCUGGGCAUUUCAAGGGAAUGUUUAAAAUUCACAUUGACGCUGCACAGAAAAGCUGGAAAGCUCAUCUGGUCUUUGACAAACCAGUUCAAAACCUACAGUCACCUCAUGCUAAGAUCGCUUCCCAUUCGUCAAGCGGAGAAGAAUGGGUUGUGGAGAAUUUUGGAUGGAAUGGGGACAUCCACGAGGGGGAUUACGUCAGCAUAGAUAUUCUGGGG